rnacentral:rRNA from 1 species
UACAGGGGGCCCGAGCGUUGUUCGGAUUCACUGGGCGUAAAGGGUGCGUAGGUGGCGUGGUAAGUUUGAUGUGAAGGCUCAGGGCUUAACCCUGAAAUGGCAUUGAAUACUACUAUGCUGGAGGUUUGGAGGGGGGACUGGAAUUCUUGGUGUAGCAGUGAAAUGCGUAGAUAUCAAGAGGAACACCAGUGGCGAAGGCGAGUCCCUGGACAACACCUGACACUGAGGCACGAAAGCUAGGGGAGCAAACAGG